CCCUUAGAUGUUCUGGGCUGCACGCGCGCUACACUGAAGCGUUCAACGAGUAUUCACCUUGCCCGGGAGGGUUGGGUAAUCUUUUGAAAACGCUUCGUGAUGGGGAUAGAUUAUUGCAAUUAUUAAUCUUCAACGAGGAAUUCCUAGUAAGCGCGAGUCAUCAGCUCGUGCUGAUUACGUCCCUGCCCUUUGUACACACCGCCCGUCGCUCCUACCGAUUGAGUGUUCCGAUGAAUACCAUGGACUGAGAGUAUGAAUGGGUUCGCCUAUUUCUGCUUCUCGGGAAGUGGAGUAAAUCUUAACAUUUAGAGGAAGGAGAAGUCGUAACA
rnacentral:rRNA from 1 species